GACUGAAAGAGUAAUGCCUUACAAGCUAAUCACGAUUUGUAUUACAAUGAAAUUUCUUUUGAUCUUCCUAUUCAUGUACAUGACAUUUUUAUGAAUAAAUAAAGUCUUUAUAUUUCAUCAUAUGCUGCAUCUUAUAGUUAUUAAGAUUAUGAUGGAUUCCACAGAUUAGGGCAAUGAUUUUAGAACCAUGAUGAGAUCAUACCAGUGGACCUAAAAUUUUAAUCUAAAAUAUUUUUAGUCAUUGAUGCAUUG
rnacentral:lncRNA from 1 species